rnacentral:lncRNA from 1 species
GGAGGAGACCAAAGUCUUGCUUCAAGUAACCAACCAAGUAGCUCAAGAUGAACAGUUGACGUUUCAAGUCACCAGCAUCCUUUGCCAGCAUAAACAGGAAGAAGAGGAGGAAGAGAAGGAGGAAGAGAAGGAAGAAGAGAAGGAGGAGGAGAAGGAGAAGGAGAAGGAGAAGGAGAACAAAGAUGGCUUGGAGGUCUCAUUCACAGAAGAGCAGACCCCUUUUCUUCCCCAGGCUCAGAUAGCAUCUACAGAGAUUCCCAUAGAGGCUGGCCAGUAUCAAGAGAAGAGAAAACCUCCUGUAAUAGCAGAAAGGAAGGAAAAA